rnacentral:misc_RNA from 1 species
CGCUACGCUUGUUCUACUCUUUCCGCGUCUACCCUCACGCCUAUCCUCUCCCAGAGUGUAUGUAAGGAGUGACGCUUGCCUCAAAAUCCGUUCUCCCUCUCUCGCAUUCGUGGAACCCACCCACCCCCACUCGCGCUUCCUCGGUCUGCUUCCAUCAUCUACCCUUCCUCCGCGUUUUCCUUCGUCGCCGCACCUUGCUGUGCUUUCUGUCGCUCGUGUGUGUAGCGGUGCACUCGUCAUCUUAAGUCUAUCUGGCCCCCCUCCUUUUUUUUUUCGUUCCGUCGAUCAACGACGAGCUCCCGCAUUUUCACUCUCUUUUUCACCUUCGCAUGUUCGUGGUGUCCAGCCUGCCCUCUGGUGUCACGGUGCUCAUCUCUGUGUCUGUGUGCUUGUGCCUACCAACCACCAUUUGCUUGUGUGUCUCAUCGUGUAGAGCUCCCCCGUAAUGUCGACAAAGGAAGACACGCCGGCCUCUCUCGCCUCGGCUGUCGACACGCCGGCCUCUUUACUCGACGCAAAGGCCAGCGCGCUGCUGGAGGAGUUCGAUACUUUUUUCUCGCAAGGAAAGAACACCGAUCGCCUGCGAAACUUCAUCGAAGAAAAUGACGACACGCUCGCACUCGUCGCCUCUGAGAGCGAGGUGAACACCAACACAGAGGGUAGUCUGCGACUGUAUCAACUUUUUCAGAGGUACGUUGCGCUGAUCGAGGACAUCAUCGAAGAAUUCGUGGCUACCACGGAGAAGUCGGAUGAGUCGAUGCUGCGCUUCCUAGCAUCCGCUAUUCAGGAAGAGUGGAGGUCCCCGAGCACGGCCUAUCGGUGUGUCUGCACUAGCUACAUAGCGGCGUCCAUGGACUACAAGGACUUUCUCGAGUUCGCUGAGGAUCUGUACAGCGUGACUCAUUACCGGAUGCACGUGCGCGAAGAAGAUAGCAGCGAGGAAGAGGACGGAGAAGAGAUAGUCGACAACGUCGGUGGUGGUGGUGGCUACGGAUCCGAUGACCCGAGCCUCAACUGAGGUGUGAUGUGCGGUUGAAAAUGCUACGUGGCAACUGCCUCUCUCCUUUUUCUUCCUCCUCGUCCCCCCGCCAAGCGACGACUUCGUCUUUAUUGUGUGCAUUUACUUUGAUGAACACCCCUCUUCACGCCUGCACGCUUUCUUUCGUUGUUUGUUGGUGUCUGUUUGUGCUGUCUCUCUCUCUCUCUCGCACACAAGUCAUAUGUGCACAGAACUGUUGUACGCACGCAUACGCACCAUAUCUUGUCGCUCGAGGAUCUGGUGGUCACCCUCACUCAUUUCUCUUUCUCUUCCUUCGUCCUCCCCUCUUCCGGUCAUUCGGGUUUCCUGGUUUACGGUGGGCGAAGCUCGACAAGGAAAAACCAUUGUGUGCAUGCAUAAAGAUCAUCCACGUUACUGUGUGGGGCCAACGACGCAUUCGCCCUGGAAACGACAGGCCCGCACCUCUCUCUCCCUCGUUGUAUCAGUGAGCAGGCGCCCUCCAUCUUGAGUCGUGCACGGCUUUGUCUGCACGACUUCAUGAUUGCGUCCGACGCUACGGGCACCUUCUUAGUUCGCUUUCUCUCCUUUUAUAUCGUUCUUGCUCUUCGUGUGAACAUCAUUUCUCGUCACAUUUUUUUUUGAUUUAAUGCUGGCCUUUUUGCUCUAUGGAAGUGAGCGCCUCAUCGCCGUUUUUGUAUGGAGGAUAAAACGAAACGCCGGCGAGUGACGGCUCUUUGCGUUCAUCAAUAGAAGAGCGAGAGGGGUGGGGAGGGCAAACGGGCACGAUGACAGCGUGUAUGCGACUACGCACAGAGAAUGACUUCGGUUGAAAAAAAAAAUGAAAGUGAAUAACAGUAGCCGCCUUAUAGCUGCAUUGGCCUGUAUUCCUCUCUCCGAUGCCUCCUUUCGCUUUUAUACAUCUUUGAAAGUGGCCGUUGUAGUGAUCGUCGUCAUCUCCGAUGGGCAGCACAAUCUUCGACUCAGCCAGUGGUGCUCUCUCCCUCUAACCCUCCCCCACCUCCACUACCCCCCGCCCCUCACUCACUUUCUCUUUCUCGGCGUUCAUAUGCAUGAUAGAACGGGAGAAGUUCAUGUUGACCUGAAAACGAGCCGUGUUUUGGUGUGCGGUUCACAGAAGAGAGCGGCAGCUCAGGCAUGCCGGCGUGAAUCGACCUGGUGAGGGGUGCUCGUUGCUUUGACGUAUCUGUAGGCCUGGCACCAUCCCGGAGCUGAAAGGAACGAAGAAAAAAAAACAGAAGAAUGUAGCUGCCUAGCAACUGAUUACAAUGAGCGCAUUUACUCGCGACUCCCUACGUCUACGUCUGCGUAGUUUGUGAGCCGCCCACCUCUGCAUGUGGUUGAUGUUUUUUUUUUAUCGGUCGAAGAUGUGGGCCCUAUCGGCUUCCCUCUCUCCUGGCGUCCCUAUCUGCAAUCAUUUGCCGCAG